UGAAAACGCAUAUUUUUGUCUCCGUUUUGCCCUUCCAUCCACACUGAGACGUGUUUUUAGGAAACAAAAACGUAUCUUUUUGAAAACGCUCUCCAAAGUGGAUAAAUUUGAAAACGACUUUUUCGUGUCGUAGUGUAGACUGUGAAAACGGAGUCUUUCGAAAACGAUGACGCGUUUUUUGUCAUGUGACACUCAGUCAUGUUACUAAUUCGUUUACUUUAUUUUCGUUGUGAUUAUGAUUUUAGUGAUGUCGUCCUUACUGUGAGGGUAAGCAGCGUCAUCAGCAGGAUACUGUUCUUUAAAGCGGUCCAGUAUAUCGGCGUAUUUGUUUUGGCACGUC
rnacentral:lncRNA from 1 species